UACGUAGGGCGCAAGCGUUGUCCGGAAUUAUUGGGCGUAAAGAGCUCGUAGGCGGCUUGUCGCGUCGGUUUGUGAAAGCCCGGGGGCUUAACCCCGGGUCUGCAGUCGAUACGGGCAGGCUAGAGUUCGGUAGGGGAGAUCGGAAUUCCUGGUGUAGCGGUGAAAUGCGCAGAUAUCGGGAAGAACACCCGUGGCUAAGGCGGCUCUCUAGUACGGUACUGACGCUGAGACACGAAAGCGUGGGGAGCAAACAGG
rnacentral:rRNA from 1 species